rnacentral:rRNA from 1 species
GACGAACGCUGGCGGCGUGCUUAACACAUGCAAGUCGAACGGUGAAGCUCCAGCUUGCUGGAGUGGAUCAGUGGCGAACGGGUGAGUAACACGUGAGCAACCUGCCCCUGACUCUGGAAUAAGCGCUGGAAACGGCGUCUAAUACUGGAUACGAGAAGGGUCCGCAUGGGCACUUUCUGGAAAGUUUUUCGGUUGGGGAUGAGCUCGCGGCCUAUCAGCUUGUUGGUGAGGUAAUGGCUCACCAAGGCGACGACGGGUAGCCGGCCUGAGAGGGCGACCGGCCACACUGGGACUGAGACACGGCCCAGACUCCUACGGGAGGCAGCAGUGGGGAAUAUUGCACAAUGGGCGAAAGCCUGAUGCAGCGACGCCGCGUGAGGGAUGACGGCCUUCGGGUUGUAAACCUCUUUCAGCAGGGAAGAAGCGAAAGUGACGGUACCUGCAGAAGAAGCACCGGCUAACUACGUG